UUUACAAAAGCAUAAAGUGGGCGUGUUUCCCUUUCCUCUCUUCUAUGGGCUGUACUUGGUUUCUUGUCUUAUUCUCCUACCAAUUUAGAAAUUUUCAAUUAACUGCAGCUGUUGUCAGUUGAGACUUUUUUUUUUUUUUCUUCUGACAGUGGAUACUUUUGAUGUGUUUCUUUGUUGCAUUUUUGAUAGAGAAGUUUUUAAUUCUAGUUUUCCAAUCUUCUUACUUGGUUGUUAUAACUUCUUGUAAAUAUUAACUAUAAAAUGCUAAAGUACAUUUUUUUCUUUUUCUAGGUAAGUUACUAGCUUCAAAAAGUAAAUAUAAAAUGUAAUUCUUGAGUAUGAUUGAUCUGUUUUCUCCUGAUGUAUGUUAUCAAUGGCUUGGGCCAUUUUCUUUGCUAACAGUUACAUCAUGUCAUGUGAUAGGUGCAGUGUGAUGUGUUGCUCUAAAAAUAUUGCGAGGUAAAAAUGCUCAUCCUUUGGAAAUUUAAACAAUGUAUUGUAACUAUUUGGUAACGACCCUUAGUCAUGGAAUCCUGAAUUAGAUUUCCACUAGGUUUAGCCAACCAAGUGUACAGUUCUUUUGACCUUUAGAAUAUUUGAUUUGAUUUGUUAGUGACCUCAGAACUUGAGGUGGUUUGACAUUAUUUUUGAAGUGUGAUCUACUUGGAACCAUUAACAAUCACAUAGAUUCUUAAAAUCUUUAUUCUGAUGAAGGUAGUUAUUUAAUUAAGUGUAUGUGAUGAUUUGUUUCUGUACACAAAAGUCAUCAGUUCUAUGCAGAUUUUGAGAUAAAUUGGAGGUUUGGUUUUCCUACCUAUAGGAAUCUGCAAGUAUUGGGUUGCUGCAUCUUUCAUGAAAACCCAAUUCAGACCAGUAGUGUCUUGACUUUCAUGUUCAUGUAAUAUUAAAUCUGCAGAGCACUCUUUGAUUUUUAGAUAAUUUACUGUCCUGUUAAGGAAAAUUCUGGAAGCUAGAAAACAGUUUAAUUUAUUUGAACUUUAAGGUGAGAAGAAAGAAUAUUGUAUUUUUUUUUCUCCUUCAGAUACCACCAAUGUCUUUUUUUCUCUAGUAAUGCUACACUGUAAUCAGUGUUUCUGUAUAGUAUAGCCCCUGGAUUUUGACCAAAUCUAGUUUGGCCACAGAUUUUAAUUACUUUUACAGUGAACAAAUUUGGGGUUUGCUGUGUUUGAUAUGAGCUAUUUUAUGUGAUCUGUAAACAAGGCUUUUGUAGGUGGUGAUGCCUAUUUUCAAAGGCAUUUUAGUAUUGAGUUGUUGUAGCUGUGAGUGAAAUUGUUCCCUUAGUUUAGAAAAAUAAUUUUUCAAAAUGCUCUUUAAAACAUUAUAUUGUACAGAGAAAGCUUUGGGUUUAAAUGGUGUGUUUUCCUAUUCAUUUUCUUUGGGUGGGGGUGGAAGGUUCCUAGGCCUCAUCUUUCCCACCACCUUGUUUUGGUGAGGCAAUUAAGACAGAAAUGAAAGUGUCUUUCUGGAAAUUUUUUUGUGUAUUGUAUAUAUACAGAGAGAGAGUGUGUGUGUAUUGUAUUGUAUUGCCUCUAGUUCUAAGACCUGUCUAUUUCUUGAUCUAGAUGGAAAGAAAUAGUGUAGAUUAAGUAUAACUAGCAGUUAUCUCUGGUUAUUUCUAUGACCCACAAUUCUCUUCUCAAUCUAUAUAUAACACUCAAAAGAUAGUACUUCCUAUCUCUUCUGGCAGACUUGAAAUGUUGAUGCCCUCUACUUACAGUACUUUCCUAAUUUCUAUUGUCUUUUGUUGUUCACCUCAGUUUUUGAGCUUGCAUUUUGAGAAAUGGAAGUACCAAGAAGAGUCCUAAUUUUGUCUGAAUUUCUACACUCUGGUAGUAAUGUUUUUGCACAACUUUAGUGUCUGUAAACUACUAUAGAGUUUAUUAGGUUUGAAACUAUAACUAUGUCUGUUCAAGUUGAAAAAUAAUUCUUCCUGUAGAUUCUUUUUAAAAACUGGAAAAAAAAAGGUUUUGUUUUGUUUUUUUAAGAUAAAGGGAAAUGGUCCAAAUCUUGUUUGCACUAGGAUAGCAGGCCAGGUGUUGGGGCAUUUUAUUUGAGACAUCUGCACUGUACUCUGUAAAGAGAGCAAGAAAAGGACACUAAUGUAAAAUAUCCUUCCUGAGACCAGAACAGCCUAACUCAUGAAGGAAGGAGCUUAUUUAAAAUGAAGAAAAGAGGACAAAGACAGGUCGUUUACAACUAAAUAGUGGAGAAAGUGCUCUGGCGUUAUGUUUAUGUUUAGUCACAGGUCUGGCCCUUUGUGUGUAGGCUAUUGGAAAGCCUUAGCUAGAUAAUAGUAGUGGCUUACCAAAAAGCUUGGAGUCAAAAGUACAGUAGAUUAUUUUAUUUAAUUUAUUUGUUUACUUUGGUUAAGCUUUUUCUAAUUUUUGGUAGGGUAAAGGUGAAGCCAAAAUGUAAAGUGGAAACCAAGUUCCCCAAAUUAGAGAGCAUAGCUCGCAGGUGAAUGAAAAACAAACUUGGAAGCCAAUUGGAAUGGCACAUACCUUUAAUCCCAGUAUGGGCAGUGGAUCUCUGAGUUUGAGGCCUACAUGGUCUAUGUAGUAAGUUCCAGGACAGCCAGAGCUACAAAGUGAGACCUGUCUUUU
rnacentral:lncRNA from 1 species